AAUAGUUAGCUCAAUGGUACUAGAGUAGUCAGCAGGGCUGUGAAGUCUCGAGUAAAUAGUUUUGAGCUUUCUUCUCCUUCCUGCACUGGCCUGGGCUCCUCUAAGAAUUAUGCACUGGGACAGGGUCAUCACCAACUGCCUAGUCGCAGUGUUAGGGUAGGACACGGCAAGCAAUUAUGUAAAGAUGAGAAGUGACAAGAAUAUGAAUAAUACUAAAAAUAAUAAGCCAGAGAAAAAAAGGGAAAAAAAAUGUGCCCAGGAUAU
rnacentral:misc_RNA from 1 species